UACGUAGGGUGCAAGCGUUAAUCGGAAUUACUGGGCGUAAAGCGUGCGCAGGCGGUGAUGUAAGGCAGAUGUGAAAUCCCCGGGCUCAACCUGGGAACUGCAUUUGUGACUGCAUCGCUGGAGUGCGGCAGAGGGGGAUGGAAUUCCGCGUGUAGCAGUGAAAUGCGUAGAGAUGCGGAGGAACACCGAUGGCGAAGGCAGCCCCCUGGGCUGACACUGACGCUCAGGCACGAAAGCGUGGGGAGCAAACAGG
rnacentral:rRNA from 1 species